CCCCUACGGGACGCAGCAGUGGGGAAUAUUGCACAAUGGGGGGAACCCUGAUGCAGCGACGCCGCGUGAGCGAAGAAGUAUUUCGGUAUGUAAAGCUCUAUCAGCAGGGAAGAAAAAUGGCGGUACCUGAGUAAGAAGCACCGGCUAAAUACGUGCCAGCAGCCGCGGUAAUACGUAUGGUGCAAGCGUUAUCCGGAUUUACUGGGUGUAAAGGGAGCGCAGGCGGUGCGGCAAGUCUGAUGUGAAAAUCCGGGGCCCAACCCCGGAACUGCAUUGGAAACUGUUUAUCUAGAGGUGCGGAGGGG
rnacentral:rRNA from 1 species